UUAAGGUCAUAGUAGACUUUUCAGUUAUCAACUUAUACGUGUCUUCUAUACCCCUACUGGAACAACCACGUGGCAUAUCCUCCACAACUAAGUUCCGUUUCAUACACUUCUAGCAUUUUCUUUCGUCCCUUUUCCAUGUUAAUCUUUUGUAAACCCGAAUUGGUUUAUUUUGCAAAUCUGAAUUGGUUUAUCUCUAACGAUCGGGGAAAUAACAGGUGACAGGUUUAUGGGAAGUGAUAAUCAUAUUGAUUAGGGGACUUUGUGAUUUUAACCUAGGAUUCCCUUCAAUCCAUUUUCUUGCUGAAAUGUAUAUGAUCUACACAUGCAUGUCUUGAGAUAGAUAUGUUGGGGCCUGCAAGUGUACAUGUUUGAAUAGUUGUUGCUUGUUGUAUUUUUUGAUUAAUUUUCUCCUUUGGCACGAAUUAAUUAAUGCAACAUUAAAUUCUAUUUGUUCAGAAUAUCUUGAACCACCGCAUUGGAAUUACAGGAGAAGACGCACAAGGAUAACACGGAAGACGACAUUGCAACUACAUAUUUUUUGUCAAGUCCUGUUCCUUUCUUCUUUUCUUACGUGAUUAGGAUAAUAAUAACUGAAGUGGAUGUGCUGUUGGAAAACUUUAUACACUCCACAUAGGAUCACAAGUAAAUCAUUAGACAGUGAUGAACACUUACCUUGAUUCUUUUGCAACAAUCGACCAGAGGAAGUUAUGAUCUUCUGAGCCUUCACACAUUAAUGUUUUCUUAUUCUUUCUAUAAUGGGGAAAGAGAAGAAUAAUAACAUGUGUGGCACAGGGACCAUAACCAAUUUAAAUAGAAUAUACGCAACUCUUCCGAAGUGACAUAACUCUUCAAAGGUAACUUUUUAGAAGAGGUAUAACUCUUCAGUUAUGAACCCAUCAUAUAUAACUGAAGAGUUAAUUAUAUUUCUACGCGUAUAAAAUUCAUACCUUAUAACAUAAGAUUUAUAUAUUUAGCCCAUAAAAUUAAUACUUGACUAGAUCAGAAAAAUGGGCUUCUUUAAUUGAUAGCAAUCUAUGUACAAUUAUAUUAAAUAUGUGAGUCCACUAAAAGAGAUUUUCUAACAUGUGCACCCAGUGUCUUAUGAUAUGUCCGACUCAUUUUAUUUGGAUUGAUGAAAUUCACAAUUCUCUUUUGAUUACUUUGUAACAAAGGGAUUAGCUGAUGCCAUUGGUGAUGACUGAGGUGCAGUAGUAUGCGCCGCAAGUUUCAGCCUUCAUGGGAUCUUUUGGCACCAUGAAAGGUUUGUCAAAGUCACUCAGCAAAUAACAUUCUUUAUUAGGUUGAAAUGGAUGGUGUGAGUUUGUCAAAUUCUCGAAUUUUAUGCAUUGGAUCACUAAAAAGUAUAAUGAUGUAAAUUGAUAUGAUUUGUCAAUUAUCUACGGUAUUGAAUGUCAUUAUAUAUGAUAUGCAUGUUGGCUUGGAGUAUACAACAAACUCAAGUACACCAUCAAUGGGAAAUUAGCAGUGAGACUAGACGUUGUCCAUUAAUAUGAUGAUGUCUCUAAGACUUCCUAGACUGCAUUCUUAAAGUGUGUUAAUGGCUUCAACUUGCUACAACUUGGUUUAAUUAGCGUUGCUGCAUUCUCAUUUUAACAUCUUUUGUAAUUUUAUGCAACUUCUUUAUGUUCGACUGCUUUUUUAAUUCAGUAUGUUUGUUCUUAAAAGAUCGAGUUGGUGGUCAACCUACUACAUGUGUUCUUGUCUGAUAUUAAAAGGAGCUUCAAUUUAUUUGUGAUUCUACUUUGUUUGUUGAAUUUCACCUGUCCAAAUUGAAUAACUAGGUGCAAGAGCAGAGCCAAGAUUCAUCAGGGGAGAGGGGACUAAAUACAAGCAGAGCAAACAGAGAAAAAAGAGAGGGAGAAAACAACUUAACCAAUAUAUCAGACAUUUAAUUAAAGCUAUGGCUAUCAUAUAUUCUAUGAUUGGCUUAGUUGUGAGGAUAAACAAAUAAUACAUUUGGUUAAGAAAAGGAAUUUGUCUUUCUCUUGGUAAUAAAU